UUGAAGAGUUUGAUCCUGGCUCAGAUUGAACGCUGGCGGCAUGGCUAAAGCAUGCAAGUCUGGGAGAACCUUCGGGGGACACCGGCGAAAGGGCGAGUAAUGCGAUCGAACGUACCCCAAUGUGGGGGAUAGCGUCGGGAAACUGGCGGUAAUACUCCAUGUGCUCUACGGAGGAAGUUGGGAGCGGCGAUCGUCCUAUCAGGUUGUUGGUGAGGUAAAGGCUCACCAAGGCGACGAUCCAUAGCUGGUCUGAGAGGAUGAUCA
rnacentral:rRNA from 1 species